AUGUCCAGCCAGAGAUUAGAAGGUCCUCAGGUUAACCUGAGAGGGGCAGGUCAUCCCAGGGAAGGGUUUUUGUAUGAGACUUUGUCACUGUGUUGGGUGUUCGGCGGAGGAACCAAGCUGACCGUCCUUGGUCAGCCCAAGUCUGCACCCUCAGUCACUCUCUUCCCACCCUCCUCUGAGGAGAUCGCUGAGGCCAAAAAGGCCACACUGGUGUGUCUGAUGAACGACUUCUACCCCGGUGUUGCGACGGUGACCUGGAAGGCAGAUGGCACCACCAUCAACCAGGGUGUGGAGACCACCAAGCCGUCCAAACAGAGCAACAACAAGUAUGCUGCCAGCAGCUACCUGAGCUUGACGCCCGCCAAGUGGCAAUCUCACCGUGAGAUCACCUGCCAGGUCACGCACGAAGGCACAACCGUGGAGAAGACAGUGGGCCCUUCAGAGUGUUCUUAGACCUUUGGGAAAACCCACCCAAGGGCACCUUCCUCACCCACAUGCCCUACUUCCCAUAAUUCUACCUGAACCCCUGAUAUACCUUCCCCAGGUCAGCUCAGACCAUGUGGGUUCCUCUCCCUGUAACUAUUGCUUCUCAAUAAAGAACUAAUCAUUUAUUAUGUGA